rnacentral:rRNA from 1 species
GCCGCGUGUAUGAAGAAGGCCUUCGGGUUGUAAAGUACUUUCAGUCGUGAGGAAGGCGGUGUCGUUAAUAGCGGCGUUGUUUGACGUUAGCGACAGAAGAAGCACCGGCUAACUCCGUGCCAGCAGCCGCGGUAAUACGGAGGGUGCGAGCGUUAAUCGGAAUUACUGGGCGUAAAGCGCAUGCAGGUGGUUUGUUAAGUCAGAUGUGAAAGCCCGGGGCUCAACCUCGGAAUAGCAUUUGAAACUGGCAGACUAGAGUACUGUAGAGGGGGGUAGAAUUUCAGGUGUAGCGGUGAAAUGCGUAGAGAUCUGAAGGAAUACCGGUGGCGAAGGCGGCCCCCUGGACAGAUACUGACACUCAGAUGCGAAAGCGUGGGGAGCAAACAGGAUUAGAUACCCC